AAUAAAUUUUGAUAUCACGAACAUAAAUGUACUAGUCAGUUGUAUUCUUUUGGUGAGUGUGUUGCUGGAGUCUCCAAAAAUACCACUGUUGAUUUAGGAAUCUUUACGAAUAAACUGACGCCAUGUUAAGUCAUCUGUGUCUCGUAGUUUUGGUUGGAUGUGCGGCGGUAAUGAGCCAAGAAAAUCCGCCAUUGCCAACUCCAUCUCCAGAUUUUGAAAAUAAAAUAGCGGUAGCAGUUGCUACAAUCAAACAGGCCGCUAAAGAGCUUGAUAAGGUGGACAUCCCAAAAGAAGCAAGGGACCUAUUAUUGGAUGACUUCCUGUCUUCACGUCUGACUCGUCGUGUGAAUGAGGACCUGUUUAGAAAAAAUCGAGGUUUUUGGAAAACUGCUGCCAAAGUCGCAGGAGUUGCAGCCCUCCUUGGCUAGGAAUGAUAAGAAAGUUGUUGAAGAUUUUGAGGACUAUCUUAUAAUCUUAUAACAUUUAAUUAUAGAAUAUGAGAAAAUAAAAUAUUUUAUUAAACAUUUAUGAUAUUAAAAACUU
rnacentral:sRNA from 1 species